AUACGUAGGGGGCAAGCGUUACCCGGAUUUACUGGGUGUAAAGGGAGCGUAGACGGCAUGGCAAGUCUGAAGUGAAAGCCCGAGGCUCAACCACGGGACUGCUUUGGAAACUGUUAAGCUAGAGUGCAGGAGAGGUAAGUGGAAUUCCUAGUGUAGCGGUGAAAUGCGUAGAUAUUAGGAGGAACACCGGUGGCGAAGGCGGCUUACUGGACUGUAACUGACGUUGAGGCUCGAAAGCGUGGGGAGCAAACAGGAUUAGAUACCCUGGUAGUCCACGCUGUAAACGAUGAUUACUAGGUGUUGGGGACCUAUAGGUCUUCGGUGCCGCAGCAAACGCAAUAAGUAAUCCACCUGGGGAGUACGUUCGCAAGAAUGAAACUCAAAUGAAUUGACGGGG
rnacentral:rRNA from 1 species